GAGUUGUUCCUUCCUACAUGCAAAUAUUGUGCAUCUGCUGAAGAUUUUUGUGUCAAUGAAGGGAUCAUUGCGGCUCGUAAGGGAGGCUGAAAAAGUGUCAAGGUGGUUUUUGCUAUUCCAUAAGCAAUUGUUCUGUGGCUGCUAAAGAUUUCUGAGACACUGUGACUUAGAAGAGACUCCAAAAAGAAAAGGUUUAUGAAGAACUGGAUACGAAUGAUAUUUUAUAUAGAAAGUCCAAUGCUCUUGGAAAGCUUUUCAUUUAUUUAUAUUUUAUAUUUCUAAACUGCCCAUCUUCCUCAGAAGAGUGGUCCGUUCUUCUUCUUUAAUCUGAAAGGAUGUUUGGGCCAUUUUGGGUCCAGAGGAUAAUCUGCCGACGUAGGGGUGGAGACAUGGACGGCGUACAUCUUGACGGCUAAGGAUGGACAUUUUGCCACGACUUUUGGGCCUAUUUCUCCAUGAGAUAUUCAUUUGCCGAUCUACUACGACUGCGAGGUUCCCCCGCCUCGCAGGAAUGGCCCUCCAAGCUAUCGAGGGCUUACCUUAACGAAGGGUCUUGGGACCCAGAGAGGUGGCAUGCGGCUAAGAAGAAUUUGUGGGGUUUUUUAAAUAGUUUUUUA